CACACACAGACACACACAGAGACAGGUAGACACACACAGAGACAGGUAGACACACACAGACACAGGUAGACACACACAGACACAGGUAGACACACACAGACACAGGUAGACACACACAGAGACAGGUAGACACACACAGAGACAGGUAGACACAGACAGACAGGUGGACACACACACACACACACACACACACAGACAGGUAGACACACACACAGAGACAGACAGACACACACAGACAGACACACACAGACAGACACACACACACAGAGACAGGUAAACACACACAGACAGACACACAGAGACAGACAGACACA
ensembl:lncRNA